rnacentral:misc_RNA from 1 species
UCCGGUUUGGCACCGGCAGUCCUCCCAGAGUCCUCGGCUUGACCCGGUAGCAACUGGGAGCGGGGGUUGCGCUCGUUGCGGGACUUAACCCAACAUCUCACGACACGAGCCGACGACAGCCAUGCAGCACCUGUCAACGGGCUCCGAAGAGGGGUCCUGGUUUCUCAGGACUUUCCCGUCGAUGUCAAGCCCAGGUAAGGUUCUUCGCGUUGCGUCGAAUUAAACCACAUGCUCCACCGCUUGUGCGGGCCCCCGUCAAUUCCUUUGAGUUUCAGCCUUGCGGCCGUACUCCCCAGGCGGGGCACUUAAUGCGUUAGCUGCGGCACCCAGGGGGUCAAUACCCCGGACACCUAGUGCCCAUCGUUUACAGCGUGGACUAC